AGUGCCGCGGCCCCAGCCCGCUCUGCUUCCCUUGCCCCGGCCCCAUCCGUGUCGCUCGGGGGAGAGGAGGUGUUGGGGAAAGGUUCCCCACCCCCCCGCACUCACCGGCGGCAGGAAGCAGAGCUGGGAGCUGGCGGAGUGGAGCGGGCUGAUGUUGGGCUGCUGCACCUCACGCCGCUGCUGCCUGACUACAGGUUUCCAGGCACUGAGGUCCAAGAAAGGCUGGCUGGUCUCUGGCUGAUUGGGUGACGGUGCCAGGGAGGCAGGAGGGAUGACCUAAACCAGGAACAGCUGAGCCACGUGGUUUCUGAGAAAGGACUCCUGGAGCUAGAAGGCAGCGAUUGAGAGGAAAGCGAAAGUUAAAGCAGCUGGAGGAGGGACCACAUCCCGUGUCUGGAGGUCACCAAGAUGCGCACCCCAGCUGAGGUCUGAGGCAUCCAACACCAACUUGAUGGAGUGAGGGGCUGUCGAACUAAACCCCUUCCAGGACUAUCCUGGAGUCAGCUGAGGUCUGAGGCGUCCAACACCAACUUGAUGGAGUGAGGGGUUGUCGAACUAAACCCCUUCCAGGAUUAUCCUGGAGUCAGUCCACCAUCGCAGCGAAUAGGCCCAGAGAGCAGCAUGUGGCCUGAAACACCGUGACAUCCCUUUGGACUUGAGACCUGGAGCUGCCCUUGAUGAGCCAGUCGUUGAGGUAUGGGUCGAUCGGAAUACUCUGGCGCCUGAAAUAAGCUGCUACCACUGACAUGCACUUGGUAAACACUCGGUGCUGUUGCCAGGCCAAACAGGAGGACCGCAAACUGAUAAUGGUGGGGCCCCCUGUAAACUGGAGGAAGAGUCCGUGCCCUUGAAAGUUCGCUAUGUGGAAGUACGCAUCCUUCAAAUCGAGGGCGGCAUAUCAGUCUCCCAGAUCAAGGGAGGGGAUAAUAGAAGCCAGGGAAACCAUGCAGAACUUUAACUUCUUUAGGUACUUGUUGAGGUCUCGCAGGUCCAGGAUGGGCUGUAGACCACCCUUGGCCUUUGGGAUUAAGAAGUACCGGGAAAAGAACCCCUUGUUCCUGUACUAAAGAGGAACUUCUUCCACCGCACCCAGCUGUAGUCACCCCUCUACCUCCUGCACGAGGAGACUCUGUGAGAGAUGUCCUUAAAGAGGGAUGGGGAAGGCAGGUGGGAAGGGGAGGGCAGAAAGGAACUGGAGGGUAUAACCCUGUUUCACUGUGCUGAGGACACAUCGGUUCGAGGUUCUAGCCAUCCAGGCAGGGAGGAAGAGGGUAAGGUGGUUGGAGAACACAGGGAAGGACAGAUCCAGGGAAUAGUCUGGUAGUUUGCCCUUGGGCACACCCUCAAAAUGGCCCCCUGCUUAUUACGAGUUGAGCCCAACUGGGCAGAUCAUGGAGGCGGCUGGCUAGGGUGGCGCUUGUAGCCGUUGGCUCAUUUAUGGGGCUGGUCCUGCCGAGGCUGAUGCCCCUGGCCCUGUGACCAGGGCCGGCUUUAGGCCAAUUCGCCCGAU